rnacentral:lncRNA from 1 species
UAGUAUAAAUGAAAAUAACAAAAAUAGUACAAAUUUCAAAGAAUGUAAAAAAGGUUGAGAAAUGAUUCGGUACUUUUUUGUAAAUAAAAUAAAAAAGAUCUUAACCGUUGAUUAAUAGAGGGUAAAAAUGUAACUUUAAUAUUUAGCAGGUAAAAAGAUUAUUUUAUUCAAGGUUAGUUUGGUAAUUAAAUAAUACAAUAUUUAAAGAAACUUUUAAUUGAGGUCCUAAAUUUAUGCAUUAAUUAGCACUAAUUUAGAAAAUUAAUUGAUUAACCAAAUUUAUGCAAUUAUUAGGCAUUAAUUUAGGAAUCUACUUUAAAUGUUUUAGUGUUUCUCAAAUUAUGCAUUAAUUUAAAUUAUAGAAAUUUUAGAAAUAGUUUUAUUUCUAAAUACGAUGAAUUUAAAUUUUAAAAAUUAAAUACUUAAAAUUUAAAAGUGAAAUUUAAAUUAGAGGAAUUUCAUAUUACUAUUUAAAAACUAAAUUUCAACCAAGAUUUAAAAUACAGUUUAUUCGCAUCAGUUUAAAACGUAAUGCAUAACAAACUUAGAGAGUAAAAUUUCUACAACUAGAUUUCUCUAGAUGAAUUUCAUAUUACUAUUUAAAUUUUAAAUUCAAUGAUUUAAAAACUAGAUUGAACCGAUUGAUUUGACUGAUUAGACUUUGAUCUAUUCUAUCAAGUAUCUGAUUUUAACCUGUUGAACCGAAACCGGUAAAGAUAAUAAAUAUUUUAAACAGAAUGAUAAUUUAACUGUUAGAGCUAAUAAAUAUUUUAAAUGUAAUUUUAAACAUAUAAAUUAAAAAGAUUAGAAUUAUUGGUGAGAAAAAAAAUAGUUAGGAAUUUGAAUUCGAAUCUCACUAACAAUCACAAAACUUAUUUCCGAACUCGACAGAUUUCAAAAAUCCAUAUCCAAAUUCAAAACUGACCAAUUUUUCGAAACCCAAAACCAAACCUAAACCAGAAGACUAGAAUUCAAACAAUUAUUUCUGUUUACCAUAUUUCAAAGUAUUUAUAUGAAACUUAAAUUUUUAAAAUAUAAAUUUGAAUAUAAUAUUAAAUUUUAAAUUUAAAAGUGAAAUUUAAAUUAGAGGAAUUUCAUAUUACUACUUAAAGUUUAAAUUCAAUGAUCAUAUUGUCAAAUCAUUUGAAAUUUUUUCUAUAUGAAAUGCCAAAUUAUGAAAGGAAAGAUAGAGAGAGAAAAAGGAAACAAAGAAACAAUAAAAAUUUUGAAAAUAUAGUAGAUGUAAAAUGACUAAAUUGUCUAUGUAUUAAAAGACAAAAAUAUCAUUUUUUGAGGUACCUGGUAACCGGUACCUCUCCCAAAGUGACCUGCUAUUGCAGGUCACAAUUUAAAAAAAACUAAAUCUGAGCCGUUGAAUACGUGUGAAUGAACAGUAACAAAAAAAAAAAAAGUAUAGAAGCAUUACUCAAAAAGGUUAUGGAGAUAUAGCAAAUGCUAAUCAUUGAACUAUAUAGAGUCCGGCUACUAUACUCUUACGAGUGUAGAAUUUUUGUACUCAUAAGUUUUUGAUCGUUAGAUUUACUCCUUUGAUCAUUUCUAUCUGUUAGAUUAUAAUAUUCAACAAACCAGCCACUCAAUUCUAGCAAAUCAGUAUCAUUCUAAUCAGGAAAUGCUAUCAUACUAACUGCUCAUUUCUUCAUCCAACAGCGAAAAAAUUUAUGAGUACAAAUAAAUUAAUACUCAUAAGAGUAUAGUAGUCCUACUCUUACUCUCUCUCUCUCUCUCUCUAUAUAUAUAUAUAUGUAGUUCGGCUAUGAUACUAUCAAUAGCACCAAGGAAUUGGUGCUAUCGAGUUUUUCACUAUCAGAUUUAACCCUUUAACUAUUUUCAUCCAUUGGAUUAUACUAUUCAACCAACAACUUACUCAACCCUAAGGGGCCCACAUCAUCAUAACCGUAUAUUUCCUCAUCCAAAGGCCAAAAACUUAAUAGCACUCCUUAGUGCUAUUGAUAGCAUUCCAGUCUAAUUAUAUAUAUAUAUAUAUAUAUAUAUAUAUAGAGUUGAGCUAUGAUACUUUUACAAGUAUCACCAUCAUGGUGCUAUUAGGUUUUAAGCCAUUGGAUCUACUUUUUGAUUAUUAAUAGUCCUUGGAUUAAACACUAUUCCACCUACCACCACCUACCACCAUCAUCUCAACUUCACAUCUCAACCUCACAUCUCUUCAUCCAAGGGCUAAAAACAUACAAGUAUCACCCCCAUGAUACUUUUACAAGUAUUCUAGCCCUACUAUAUAUAUAUAUAUAUAUAUAUAUAUAAUUGAGCUCCUAUACUUUUAAAAGUACCAAGUCCUUGAUGCUUGUAAGUUUUUAGCCUUUGAAUUAAUAGAUGUACGGUUAGAAUAAUGUAGGCCCCCUUGGAUUAAGUUGGUGGUUGGUUAAAUAGUAUAAUCUAACGAAUGAAAAUGAUCAAAAUCGUAGAUAUAACGGUAAAAUAUUCACAAGCACCAAGUGCUUGGCGCUUUUACAAGCAACAUAGCCGGACUCACUCUCUCUCUCUCUCUCUCUCUCUCUCUCUCUCUCUCUCUCUAUAUAUAUAUAUAUAUAUAUAUAUAUGUAU